rnacentral:rRNA from 1 species
CCCUUAGAUGUCCUGGGCCGCACGCGCGCUACACUGAUGCAUGCAACGAGUUUAUAACCUUGGCCUGAAAGGUCUGGGUAAUCUUUUGAACGUGCAUCGUGAUAGGGAUAGAUUAUUGCAAUUGUUAAUCUUGAACGAGGAAUUCCUAGUAAACGCGAGUCAUCAGCUCGCAUUGAUUACGUCCCUGCCCUUUGUACACACCGCCCGUCGCACCUACCGAUUGAAUGGUUCGGUGAAGAUCUCGGACUUCGAUAUUUAUUCUUUAUUGAGUUUAUAUAGUGGGAAGUUAUCUAAACCUCAUCAUUUAGAGGAAGGUGAAGUCGUAACA